rnacentral:rRNA from 1 species
GUCAAGAGGGAAACAGCCCAGAUCACCAGCUAAGGCCCCUAAAUAAUGACUAAGUGAUAAAGGAAGUGGAAAGGCUUAGACAACCAGGAGGUUUGCUUAGAAGCAGCAAUCCUUUAAAAAGUGCGUAAUAGCUUACUGGUCUAGCAAUUCUGCGCCGAAAACUUACGGGACUAAGUCAUUUGCCGAAGCUGUGAGAUAGUUCAUGAAUAAGUAGAAGAGAUUUUUUAAUCUUGAAGAAAACUUACUAGCAUUGUCUAGGACAUACUAUCGGUAGGGGAGCGUUCUGUUGUAGGUUGAAGUGUUAGCGAAAGCGGGCAUGGACGAAACAGAAGUGAGAAUGUCGGAUUGAGUAGCGAAAACAUUGGUGAGAAUCCAAUGCUCCGAAAACCUAAGGUUUCCUCCGCAAGGCUCGUCCACGGAGGGUGAGUCAGGUCCUAAGGUGAGGCUGAGAAGCGUAGUUGAUGGAUAAUAGAUUAAUAUUUCUAUACUGAUUAUUACUGGUAACGAGGGACGAAUAAGGCUAAACUAGCCAGAGAUUGGUUACUGGUUUAAGGAAGUAAGGUGUUGACGAUUAGUGAAAAUAAUCUGAGCUGAGAUCUGAAUGCAAGAUUGAAAAAUCAAAGUAGUUGAUGUCAUAGUUCCAAGAAAAGCUCGCUAUGCCUUAAGUAAUAAUCACCUGUACCUUAAACCGACACAGGUAGGUAGGUAGAGAAUACCAAGGAGCGCGGGAGAACCCUCCUUAAGGAACUCGGCAAAAUAGCUCUGUAACUUCGGAAGAAAGAGUGCCUUUUAGGCUGCAAUAUCAAGUUCCAAGCAACUGUUUAGCAAAAACACAGGUCUCCGCUAAGUUGUAAGACGAUGUAUGGGGGCUGACGCCUGCCCAGUGCCGGAAGGUUAAAGAAGUUGGUUAGCGCAAGCAAAGCUGGUAACUGAAGCCCCGGUGAACGGCGGCCGUAACUAUAACGGUCCUAAGGUAGCGAAAUUCCUUGUCAGGUAAGUUCUGACCCGCACGAAU